AACAAGGACAAGUGCAGAGUCCUACACUUAGGACGGAAGAAUUCCAUGCACCGCUAGAGGCUGGGGAUCAACUGGCUAAGCGGCUGUUCUGCAGAAAAGGACCUGGGGAUUACAGUAGGGUUACAGUGGACGAGAAGCUGGAUAUGAGUCAACAGUGUGCCCUUGUUGCCA